ACCAGCCCAUUUCCGCCCCGCCCCUACUGAAUUCCCGAAGCCUCGCAGCACCGCCCCUGGAACGCAUGCGCCUUCCAUUAUCUGCGGUCUCCUAGACUCGCCACCUUCCACCUCCAGUCUGUAGUCCCCUCCCUUUCUAAUCUCCCGUGAACGCGGCGUGUAGACCCCCCCGGGAACGCGCUUGCCAGAGGCCCCGCCCCCUCCAAAAUUUAUAAAAAGGGGGCGGAGUGGAGCGGGGAAAAGUGGGCCUGGACGAGGCCGGAAAGAGAAGAAGCUUGCAGGAAGGAAAGAAGCUGAACUAGUUGGGACGUGACUGGGCGUGCGUAAGGGUUACCUGUUCUGAGCUUCCAUAACAAUGAGCCUGCCGCGACGGGAGGCCAUUUACUGCUCCCAGCAUGCACCAGGCCCAGGCUGCCGAGUGGCACCCCCAAGGGCUCCUGGGAGUUGUAGUUUUUCGGAGCCUCGUCUCCCUUCUGGAAUAACCUAUUGCCCACUUCUCAGCGCUCCUGAACUGGGGAGCCCGGCACCGACCCAGGCAAUUAACUGAGUCGCGGCCCGGACUGAUCUCUAAGGAGGAAAUUGAAGAGCAUCCCAGGGCUGAGCAGUUCUCCAUCUUCUAGAAGAGAAGCACCAGGAGAGAAAGGACCUUACCUGCCUGUUCAUCGUUGUAUUCCCAGCCCCUAGAGUCAUAGCUGGCCCAUUAGGAGGAAUGCUUCACAUCAUUCCUUCAGGUACACCACAGUAAAAUCAAGUGGAUGGAGUUACUCCACAGCGUUACUAGACCGAGUCUCCUGUGGUCUCUCCUCUCUCCUCAAUCCUUGGAAUGGGCAUUUCUGUGGAUGGCUGGAAGAUAACAGUAACAUAAUGUGGCGGUCGCCUGCACAGGUUUUGAGCCCCCUAGCCUCAAUUCCACUCCAGGCUGGCCAUUUGCCAGCUGUGUGACCUCCCAUGGUUAUUUCACUUCUCUCCUCCUGGGAAAAUGGAAAUAACAAUACCUGGUUCAGCAAGUCAUGGAGAAGGUUAAGUGAGCAAUUCAUUUUGACCCCCAGACAUGGUGCCUAGCAUAUGCAGAACACUCAAAAACUGUUAGCCCUUGGUAUUAAGGCUACUCCUCUCUAGCCCUGUUGAUUUGUAGUUGUUUCUGCUCACAGAGAAUAAGCUAUUUUUAACUCUUUGCCCAGAUUAAGGAAAAACAAAAAAAGUCCAAUGAGAACAAUUUGAUUCAGUGAAAAUUCUUAAAUGCCUUCAAUGUUUCAAAGAAAUGCAAUUUCUUUGUAUUGCUUUCAGAUUUGAAUAUAGUACAGCCCCAAAUACAUGGAGAAUAGGGGAAUAAAUAAGUAAAAUUUUUAAAGGAGGAAUAAAUUCAUACAAAAAAGAGGAAACAUCAUGUAAAAAUGCAAUUUGUCAUAAACAAGUAUUUAUGAGUACCCAGUAUGUAUCCUGUUCUUUCUGCUUCUAGCCUUGCCUUUUGUAACUCUAUUUGCAACACUGCAACCAAAAUCAUUUUUCAGAGACUGAGUUACAUCAUGUCAUUUCUCUGUUCAGAAUCCUCCAAUGGCUUCCCACCUCAUUUGAAAGGCCAAAGCGUUCACACUGCCCUGUAAGACCUUAUGUAAUCUGUUCACCCCCACUUCUCACCCUGUCUCUCCGACUUAACCUCCUCUCCCUUACUUACUCGGCACAGAUCUCAGUGGACUCUUUGCUGC